rnacentral:lncRNA from 1 species
UUCAAAUCUUCAAAAACGUCCAUCCUCAUGUCUCCAUGCUUGCACUAUCCAAUCUUGGCUCAAAAAUGCUCAAAAAUGCUCAAAAAUGCACUUUCUUGCCAACUUUGUUAUUAUGACCUACAAACACACGAAAAUAGCGUAAAAUACAUAAUUAACUAAGAAAUAACAACACAAAUGCACAAGAACAAGCUAACUAAGUCGCAUAAAUAUGUUCCUAUCACAUUUGCCCAUAAAUUUUUACUUUUGAAUUUUUGUCUUGUCAAAGAAAUAGGCGGUUGCAUGGACACCGCUCCCCAUGGAUAAUUCCAAACCAUCAUCUAACCCCAGUCAUCAUGACUAAAAUCAUAGAGAAUGAAGUCUUAAUUGCAUCAAUUUAUGCAAACCUUGUUAGCAUAAAGGGGCUAGGCUACACAUCAAAUACAACGCUAUAUGUUACCCAACACGUUUAAAGUCAUAGAUUGAAUCAACAAGCAAACAUUGCUCAUGUGUAUAUGUGACGAUCCAUUCCGAAUUAUUAUAUAUUUUUCUCCCCGAGUGUAUAAAAUGACGAUAAUGCCCUCGUGGUUUAGUGACGUGUAUAAAGUCACGAGCGCAUCGACACGAGUUAGGGGCGAAUCAGUUCCUUAACGAAAAUGUUACAAUGAUUUUAGAGCGAGAUUGGAUGGAAUUAUAUUUUUGGGUUGACUAUUUCAUAUUCUCCAAUCAUCUUCUUUUCCUACAACCUUGGACCCAAUUAGAAUUUUUGGGCUUGUUUUAUUUUUUUUGGACCAAAUGUUAGGACCUGAAUCACACAACCCAAUCAAGGCUUCUGAUCUUUUUAUGCUGCCCAUUUUCGUAACCCACACGCACAUACACACACGUGCAAACCUUCUUCUCUUCCUCAUCUU